AGCAGUGUAGCUCAAUGGAUAGAGCACAGACCUGGGAGUCAGAAGGACCUGGGUUCUAAUCCCAAUUCUGUCA
rnacentral:tRNA from 1 species